AUUGAACGCUGGCGGCAUGCCUUACACAUGCAAGUCGAACGGUAACGCGGGGCAACCUGGCGACGAGUGGCGAACGGGUGAGUAAUGCAUCGGAACGUGCCCAGUAGUGGGGGAUAGCUCGGCGAAAGCCGGAUUAAUACCGCAUACGACCUACGGGUGAAAGCGGGGGACCGUAAGGCCUCGCGCUAUUGGAGUGGCCGAUGUCAGAUUAGGUUGUUGGUGGGGUAAAGGCCUACCAAGCCGACGAUCUGUAGCUGGUCUGAGAGGACGACCAGCCACACUGGGACUGUGACACGGCCCAGACUCCUACGGGAGGCAGCAGUGGGGAAUUUUGGACAAUGGGGGCAACCCUGAUCCAGCCAUGCCGCGUGCGGGAAGAAGGCCUUCGGGUUGUAAACCGCUUUUGUCAGGGAAGAAACGCUUCGGGCUAAUACCUCGAGGUAAUGACGGUACCUGAAGAAUAAGCACCGGCUAACUACGUGCCAGCAGCCGCCGUAAAAC
rnacentral:rRNA from 1 species